UGCAAAGGUAGCAUAAUCGUUAGUUUUUUAAUUGGAAUCUUGUAUGAAUGGUUGGACAAAAGAAAAUCUGUCUUUAUAUUGUUUAUUGAAUUUAACUUUUAAGUGAAAAGGCUUAAAUAAAUUAAAGGGACGAUAAGACCCUAUAAAGCUUAAUAUUAAUAUUUUACUUGGUUAAAUUUUCUUGCUCAUAAAAACUUAGUAAUUGAAUUUAUUUUAUUGGGGCGAUAAAUGUAAAAUGGCUACUAACUGCUUAAUUUUUUAUACAUUUAUAAAUGAAUUAGGAAAUAAAUGAUCCUUAAUAUAAAGAUUAAAAGUUUAAGUUACUUUAGGGAUAACAGCGUUAUCUUUCUUAAGAGUACAUAUCGAAAGAAAAUUUUGCGACCUCGAUGUUGAAUUAAAAUAUCUUUAUAAUUGCAGCAGUUAUAUAAGUAGGUCUGUUCGACCUUUAAAAUUUUACAUGAUU
rnacentral:rRNA from 1 species